rnacentral:rRNA from 1 species
UACAGAGGGUGCGAGCGUUGUUCGGAAUUACUGGGCGUAAAGCGUGCGCAGGCGGCCAUGCAAGACAGAUGUGAAAUCCCUGGGCUUAACCUAGGAACUGCAUUUGUGACUGCAUGGCUAGAGUACGGUAGAGGGGGAUGGAAUUCCGCGUGUAGCAGUGAAAUGCGUAGAUAUGCGGAGGAACACCGAUGGCGAAGGCAAUCCCCUGGACCUGUACUGACGCUCAUGCACGAAAGCGUGGGGAGCAAACAGG